GAGUUUGAUCCUGGCUCAGGACGAACGCUGGCGGCGUGCCUAAUACAUGCAAGUCGAACGAAACUUUCUUACACCGAAUGCUUGCAUUCAUCGUAAGAAGUUGAGUGGCGGACGGGUGAGUAACACGUGGGUAACCUGCCUAAAAGAAGGGGAUAACACUUGGAAACAGGUGCUAAUACCGUAUAUCUCUAAGGAUCGCAUGAUCCUUAGAUGAAAGAUGGUUCUGCUAUCGCUUUUAGAUGGACCCGCGGCGUAUUAACUAGUUGGUGGGGUAACGGCCUACCAAGGUGAUGAUACGUAGCCGAACUGAGAGGUUGAUCGGCCACAUUGGGACUGAGACACGGCCCAAACUCCUACGGGAGGCAGCAGUAGGGAAUCUUCCACAAUGGACGCAAGUCUGAUGGAGCAACGCCGCGUGAGUGAAGAAGGUCUUCGGAUCGUAAAACACUGUUGUUAGAGAAGAACACGAGUGAGAGUAACUGUUCAUUCGAUGACGGUAUCUAACCAGCAAGUCACGGCUAACUACGUGCCAGCAGCCGCGGUAAUACGUAGGUGGCAAGCGUUGUCCGGAUUUAUUGGGCGUAAAGGGAACGCAGGCGGUCUUUUAAGUCUGAUGUGAAAGCCUUCGGCUUAACCGGAGUAGUGCAUUGGAAACUGGAAGACUUGAGUGCAGAAGAGGAGAGUGGAACUCCAUGUGUAGCGGUGAAAUGCGUAGA
rnacentral:rRNA from 1 species